rnacentral:rRNA from 1 species
CCCUUAGAUGUUCUGGGCUGCGCGCGCGCUACACUGACGCACGCAACAGGUGCCUGCUCCGAGAGGACUGGGUAAUCAUUUGAGUGUGCGUCGUGAUGGGGAUAGAAUAUUGUAAUUAUUACUCUUCAACGAGGAAUUCCUAGUAAGCGCCAGUCAGCAGCUUGCGCUGAUUACGUCCCUGCCCUUUGUACACACCGCCCGUCGCUCCUACCGAUGGGUGAUCCGGUGAAUGAUUCGGACUUCAGCGGCUCCCCUGGGGUGCGCCGGAGAAAGUUUUGUGAACCUUAUCACUUGGAGGAAGGAGAAGUCGUAACA